ensembl:lncRNA
AGAUGUGUGGGGGCGCCGAGUAACCCAUAAAAUCAACGCCAUGUGAGUUGCCAGCAAUACCCUGUUCUCCAGUCCAGCAGUGAUUAUAAGCGGUGGGUAGGGGGCGCUAUCCCACUGGACUGGAGAUGUUCGAGGCCAAACAUCGAGCGGUGGAGAAGAAGGAGUCAAGCACAGAGACGGAUGAGGGCCUGGGCAGCAGCAGUAAACACUUCGGCUCCGGGUCGCUGGGCUCCGGUUCGGGCGGGUCAGUUUACCUCUCCGACAGCCAGGACUGGGUGGUGUCUCCGAGCUGCUCCCCCGACGAGGGCCCGGCCCCCCACAGCGCCAUCUCCCCCAUGCUGGCAGAGGAGACCUUUCGCUACAUGAUCCUCAGCGCUGACCGAGUGGAGCAGAUGACCAAGACCUACAAUGACAUCGAAGUGGUCACUCACCUUCUGGCAGAGAGGGACAGAGAUUUGGAGUUGGCGGCUCGGAUCGGUCAGUCUCUUCUACAGAGGAAUCAUAUUCUGCAAGAACGCAACGAGGCCAUAGAGGAGCAGCUCGCACAAGCUCUAGACCAGGUCCAUCAGCUGCAGCAUGAGCUGGGGAAGAAGGAUGAGUUGUUGCGGAUGGUUGCGAGCGCGUCUGAGGAGAGCGAGACCGACUCCAGCGUCUCAACGCCGCUACGGCAGAACCAGCCUCUGGCAGCGAUCUCCACGGCAACGGCAGCUCUCAGCCAACUGGAACAUCUGCAGAACAAACUCCAGGAUCUGGAGGAGGAGAACCUGGCUUUAAGAUCUGAGGCAUGUCAAUUGAAGAGGGACACCGUAAGCUACGAGGAGAAGGAACAACAGCUGGUCAUCGACUGUGUCAAAGAGCUCCGAGAGUCCAACACGCAGAUGGUGACUUUGACAGAGGAACUGUCCAAAAAAAACGAAGAGCUUGUAAGACACCAAGAAGAAAUCGCCCAACUCCUGUCUCAAAUCGUAGAGCUGCAACACAGAGUCAAAGAGCUUGCGUUAGAGAAGGAAGAGCUAAGGAUCCACCUACAGGCCUCCAAAGACGCCCAGAGACAGCUGACAGCGGAGCUCAAUGAAGUGACGGAGAGGAACGCGGAGUGUGCGGAGAUGCUCCACGAGUCGCUGCAGGAAAUCAAAGAGCUCCGGAACAAAAACACACCGUUCUGUGGGAUGAGGCGGCACAUGUCCUACGGCCUGUACCCCAUGGACUCGUUGGCUGCAGAAAUCGAAGGCACCAUGAGAAGAGAGCUCAGUAUAGAUGAAGAAACUGCUUUCGAGGACCAGAGCCGUUCCUCCCAUCCCCGGGUCCGGAUGCAGCUCUCUGGUGAUGACCUCGCAGCCUUUCCCCUCCAAUCAGGGGUACGUGCUCUUAUACCAUUAAAAAAAAACCAGCACAAGCAAGAUUUUAAUACCCUGAUGUGUAUUUUUUGCAGAGAUGAAGUGAAAAUCGGGCAGCCUGGUUGUCCCGGUGGGAACGAUCUGACCAAAGCGCUGCACAGGCUGUCUUUGAGGAGGCAGAACUUCCUGUGCGAGAGGCAGUUCUUUCAGGCCGAGCGGGAUAAGAAGCUCCAGGCGCAGACGGCAGAGGGCGACGGAGAGGCGAGCGGCUGCGGUUCACCGAUGGGCAGCGUCAUGUCGUCUUACUCAAACCUCUCGGAGCUCUCCUACGGGUCCAGCGUGUUCAAGACCUUCCUCCCUGAGAAACUGCAGAUAGUCAAGCCCAUGGAAGGCUCAUUGACGCUCCACCACUGGCAGCAGCUCGCACAGCCCCACCUGGCGUCCAUCUUGGAUCCCCAUCCCGGAGUGGUCACCAAGGGUUUCCGUCCUCUGGCCCAGGACGCGGCGCACCAGCUCUCCGACAUGGAGGAGGAGGAAAACGGCGCGGGAGGAGCUCGAGCGCGUUGGAGAAAGGAGCCGCCGAGCAGGCACAGAACCAAUCGGCGCAAAGCAUUCCAGGAAGUUCAGCAGCAGUCAGCCAAUCGAACGACAAGACGACGACGACAACGGUCACAACUUCCUCUGGUAAGCUAUUAA